rnacentral:rRNA from 1 species
UACGUAGGGUGCGAGCGUUAAUCGGAAUUACUGGGCGUAAAGCGUGCGCAGGCGGUUCUCCAAGUCCGUUGUGAAAGCCCCGGGCUCAACCUGGGAAUGGCAGUGGAAACUAGGGGACUGGAAUCUGGCAGAGGGGGGUGGAAUGCCGCGUGUAGCAGUGAAAUGCGUAGAGAUGCGGCGGAACACCGAUGGCGAAGGCAAUCCCCUGGACCUGUACUGACGCUCAUGCACGAAAGCGUGGGGAGCAAACAGG